AUGAACUUCAUUCAAGAUAAAUUCAGCGAGGAUGAGAAAAUACUCUACCCAUGUAGAAAUUGCCUUAAUCAUAAACACCAGCAUCAGACUGUUGUGAACACACACAUAUUGAUGUAUGGCAUGGAAAGUACAUACACUUGCUGGAUAUAUCAUGGAGAAGACUUUGAUGUUGAUGUGAUUGAAGAACCUGUUCAUGUGCAUGACACCGCUGAUGGUAACAAUGGUGCUGAUCGAUUUGAGGAGAUCUUUGGAGACCUACGCACAUCAGUAGAACAAGCUGAAAGUGAAACUGAAAAUCCUUCUGAGCAUGAGUCGUUUUUGAAGAACGUGAUGAAAGAGGCAAAGCAUCAACUUUAUCAUGGUUGUACCAAGUUUUCGAGGUUCCCCUUUGUGGUAAAGCUUCUUCAUUUGAAGUCAUACCAUAGGAUCACAAAUAGUGCAUUUACUGAUAUAUUGAAGAUAUUGGCUGAAGCAUUCCCUGAACCUAAUACACUCCCAAAAUCAUACGAGGAAGCGAAGGACCUUAUGAAGGAAUUAGGCCUUGGGUAUGUUUCUAUACAUGUGUGCUUUAAUAAUUGCAUUUUGUUUAGGAAGCAAUAUGCCAAUCAUAACAACUGCCCAGUUUGUGGCCUAUCAAGGUGGAAAGACCCUGCUAGAAAGAAGAUUCCACAGAAAGUGUUGAGGCAUUUUCCAUUGGUGCCUAGGCUGAGGAGGAUGUUUCUUUCCAAAAAAGGAGUAGAAGAAGCACAAUGGCACAAGCUAAAGAGGUAG
rnacentral:rRNA from 1 species